CAUAAUUACAUAUUUGGCAACAGAGGGUGAGGGGGUGAAGAAAAGCUCUUUUCCCAUCUGCAGAAAAUCCUGACAGCCUCUUGAAAACAACAGUAAUGAGGGAGAGAAAAAGAGGUAUUUGUGAAGGCUUUAGAUAUUCACACAAAUAAUAUUAAUUUCACACAAAUAUGCCAAACACAAAACCUUUCUUGAUUUUUUUUUGUUUGCACGGGAGGAGGCUGUGCACAUUUCACUGGAACUCCUGGCAAAAUACAAGGAUCUCAGGGCAUGUAGCUCUCACAGAAUAUUUUAAGAAAGAAAAUCUUAGUUGGUGUUUUAUUUCACAGUAUUCACACCAUUGCAACUCUAGACAGAGGCAGAAAAUGAAGAAGCAAAAAAUGGAUCUAAGUUUACUGGACCAAUAAAGUGAAGAAAAGGGAAACAUUCAGAUUAGUCUUCAUAGAGCCUAAGUAGCUCACUGCAUCCUAAGGAAACUCCUCUUUGUUGUGGAGCCCUGAAUACAGGCUCAAGGAAGUUUGAAAAGGAAAUAAGUGUUGUCAGCUCUGGACAGCAGCAGAAGGAAGAAAGGAAAAUCUUUUAAGAACUCUGUUCCAGGAACCAGACAUGAAGAGCAAAGCUUUGCCUUCAGCUCAGCCCUUCACCCUACAGCAUCACAGCAAUUUCAGGAUAAUUCAGGCCAAAAAAAACCUCAGGACACCUUGUCACUGAAGAUGAUUUUGAGACUUUUGGUUGCUGGAUGCCAUGAAAUGUAUACACAGGGACAUGAUAAGGCAUUUGGAAGCAAUCUGCUAGACAGGAUGAACUGGUAGCCAGCACAAUGUGCAGCUUCAACAGUGUCCUGUUAGUUGGGGAAAAGUCUCUGAACUCACUAAAUUCACCAGCCCUGCUGUCUGGGGGCUGAGGAUGGAAACAGGACAGCCCUUUUCCUGAGGACCAGAUCUCAUACUCCACCAAAGCCUGACUGAAGGUCUGGGGUGCAGAGGAGCAACAGAGAAGGCAGUUUGGCUGAACAUCUUUCUUCAGAAAAAAGUAUACCUAGAUGUUCAGAAUAAGUGUCAUCAUCAGAUGAAGGAUAUUAGUAAUCCUCAUUUAUGGAGAUGGAAACUGCAGUACAAGGAUAUUAAAAUAAAGAAUUUGGAUAUUUUCUACUUCACUGGAAUUCUGGCACUGGAGAAUUGCCUGCUCUGAGGUCUGCUGCCUGCCAAGCAAGGUCUAGAUUGUGGGGCCAAAACUGUGUUUGCAUGGGUUGAUUGCCCUGUGUAUUUUCACACCAACC